rnacentral:rRNA from 1 species
CCUACGGGCGGCAGCAGUGAGGAAUAUUGGUCAAUGGCCGAGAGGCUGAACCAGCCAAGUCGCGUGAGGGAAGACGGCCCUACGGGUUGUAAACCUCUUUUGUCGGGGAGCAAAGCGAGUCACGUGUGACCCAUCGAGAGUACCCGAAGAAAAAGCAUCGGCUAACCCCGUGCCAGCAGCCGCGGUAAUACCGAGGAUGCGAGCGUUAUCCGGAUUUAUUGGGUUUAAAGGGUGCGCAGGCGGAGGUGUAAGUCAGCGGUCAAAUUUCGGGGCUCAACCCCGUACUGCCGUUGAAACUGGAUGCCUUGAGUGCGCGAGAAGUAUGCGGAAUGCGUGGUGUAGCGGUGAAAUGCAUAGAUAUCACGCAGAACUCCGAUUGCGAAGGCAGCAUACCGGCGCGCGACUGACGCUGAUGCACGAAAGCGUGGGUAUCGAACAGGAUUAGAUACCCCGGUAGUC